UUCACGGACUCUCUCGAGUCCACAAAGUCAUAUAAGAUAUUUUUC
rfam:Lachnoclostridium sp. An169 An169_contig_78, whole genome shotgun sequence.